GAGGCGGGGUCUGCACCUGCGGUGCGGCCCGCUGUCCUAACCCCGGGGGGCUCUCCGGUGCGCGUCAGCCCGCCGCGGUUUGAACUUAAGGGGCGUCUCCUCUGGAGAGUGCGCUGGGUGGGUCAGCAGCGGUGAGUCGUUACCGAACAGCCUCACGACCAAAGUUAACAUUGUCUCUUGGGCUGUGUUUGGGUUUUGGCGUUUGCCUCUUCGCACGCUAUGCCACCUACCUACAUACAAGGGAAAUUGGAAGGAUUUAGAGGCCUUAAUUACUUCAGUUCCUGCGUUCGGAUACAAUCCGAAUACUUGGCACACUGCUUAUGAGCGUUUUGGAAGACACUGCAAGGCUAAAGUCUUUGACAAACACGUUUGACGCACAUCUAGAAAACGUUGCUUUUCAACUGUGCACAGCUGUGUUCACUUUGAACGAACUAAAACCUAUCUUCUGUCUCCCUGAGCGUGAAGUGCCAAGGAACAAGUAUACACGUCUCCAAGCCUCCCUGCAGAGCCUGUUUCAAAAAUAACCUCCUGCUCCAGUUUCAAUGUGUCUCCAUAUACUGGAAACUUAAUCCCCAGUGCAACAGUACUGAGAAGUAAGACCUGCCAAGACAGCAUUGAAGGAAAGAGAUUUGAAUUCAAAUCCUGGCUCAACUCUCCCAAGCUGCUGGCCCCAGGUCCCGAGACUGUGGAGGAGUGACAGUAGGAUACAGGACAAUCGAGGGGAUGCUGGAAGCCCUCUGGGACCCGUGCCUUCCUGUGAGGUGCUGAAGUCAUUGCUGUAGCUGGAAGUGUCCUUAGUUAUAAACUGUUCUUGAAAUUUUGUAUUCCCUGAAUCAUACAAUAUUAUCUCUUAAAAAAGGAUCUUAUGAGCCUGGCAUUAUCGAGAGCCAUUCUACAUAACUUUGGGGGGGAAAUCAUUUCAUAAUUAAAUUGUGGUGAAGGUUUGUCUGGGGCCUAGUAUCUCGCUGUGUGAGCCGCUGCGGUAUGAGGAAACAUAACUCCCUGUGAGUCCACUCACAGUUGAGGGUUCAGCAGUCGCAUGAUGCUGUGACCUCUGGGGCAAGAUUACAUCAGCUGAAAACAUCCUGGUUCCUUCAAAACCGAGUAGAAAUUUUUUUAAAAAAAGUUUUGCCUGGGGGGAGGGGCAAACUCCUUAUUAAUCUGCUAGCUCUUCCCACCUGCUAUUGUAGAAACACUUUGCACAUCCCACUGUCUUCACCAACAUAAGCCCCUCAUCACUAUUAGAUCCCCACUACCCUCCACGUCACCUGAAAUGAUCCUCAUCGCACAAGACCUUCAUCAGUGCAAGAUCACUGCCA